rnacentral:rRNA from 1 species
GGUGGUAGGCUGAAAUCUUAGGUAAAUCCGGGGUUUCAAGGCCGAGAGCUGAUGACGAGUCGUCUUUUAGACGACGAAGUGGUUGAUGCCAUGCUUCCAAGAAAAGCUUCUAAGCUUCAGGUAACCAGGAACCGUACCCCAAACCGACACAGGUGGUCGGGUAGAGAAUACCAAGGCGCUUGAGAGAACUCGGGUGAAGGAACUAGGCAAAUGGCACCGUAACUUCGGGAGAAGGUGCGCCGGCUAGGGUGAAGGAUUUACUCCGUAAGCUCUGGCUGGUCGAAGAUACCAGGCCGCUGCGACUGUUUAUUAAAACACAGCACUCUGCAAACACGAAAGUGGACGUAUAGGGUGUGACGCCUCCCCGGUGCCGGAAGGUUAAUUGAUGGGGUUAGCGCAAGCGAAGCUCUUGAUCGAAGCCCCGGUAAACGGCGGCCGUAACGAUAACGGUCCUAAGGUAGCGAAAUUCCUUGUCGGGUAAGUUCCGACCUGCACGAAUGGCGUAACGAUGGCGGCGCUGUCUCCACCCGAGACUCAGUGAAAUUGAAAUCGCUGUGAAGAUGCAGUGUAUCCGCGGCUAGACGGAAAGACCCCGUGAACCUUUACUGUAGCUUUGCACUGGACUUUGAGCCUGCUUGUGUAGGAUAGGUGGAGGCUUUGAAGCGUGGACGCCAGUUCGCGUGGAGCCAUCCUUGAAAUACCACCCUGGCAUGCUUGAGGUUCUAACUCUGGUCCGUAAUCCGGAUCGAGGACAGUGUAUGGUGGGCAGUUUGACUGGGGCGGUCUCCUCCUAAAGAGUAACGGAGGAGUACGAAGGUGCGCUCAGACCGGUCGGAAAUCGGUCGCAGAGUAUAAAGGCAAAAGCGCGCUUGACUGCGAGACAGACACGUCGAGCAGGUACGAAAGUAGGUCUUAGUGAUCCGGUGGUUCUGUAUGGAAGGGCCAUCGCUCAACGGAUAAAAGGUACUCCGGGGAUAACAGGCUGAUACCGCCCAAGAGUUUAUAUCGACGGCGGUGUUUGGCACCUCGAUGNCGGCUCAUCACAUCCUGGGGCUGAAGCCGGUCCCAAGGGUAUGGCUGUUCGCCAUUUAAAGUGGUACGCGAGCUGGGUUUAGAACGUCGUGAGACAGUUCGGUCCCUAUCUGCCGUGGACGUUUGAGAUUUGAGAGGGGCUGCUCCUAGUACGAGAGGACCGGAGUGGACGAACCUCUGGUGUUCCGGUUGUCACGCCAGUGGCAUUGCCGGGUAGCUAUGUUCGGAAAAGAUAACCGCUGAAAGCAUCUAAGCGGGAAACUUGCCUCAAGAUGAGAUCUCACUGGGAACUUGAUUCCCCUGAAGGGCCGUCGAAGACUACGACGUUGAUAGGCUGGGUGUGUAAGCGUUGUGAGGCGUUGAGCUAACCAGUACUAAUUGCCCGUGAGGC